rnacentral:rRNA from 1 species
AUUGAACGCUGGCGGCAGGCUUAACACAUGCAAGUCGAGCGAGCGGCGGACGGGUGAGUAAUGUCUGGGAAACUGCCUGAUGGAGGGGGAUAACUACUGGAAACGGUAGCUAAUACCGCAUACUAUCAGAUGUGACCCUAUGGGAUUAGCUAGUAGGGGGGGUAAUGGCUCCCCUAGGCGACGAUCCCUCGAUGGUCUGAGAGGAUGAACAGCAACACUGGAACUGAGACACGGCCCAGACUCCUACGGGAGGCAGCAGUGGGGAAUAUUGCACAAUGGGCGCAAGCCGGAUGCAGCCAUGCCGCGUGUGUGAAGAAGGCCUUCGGGUUGUAAAGCACUUUCAGCGAGGAGGCGUUACUCGCAGAAGAAGCACCGGCUAACUCCGUGCCAGCAGCCGCGGUAAUUC